rnacentral:lncRNA from 1 species
AAAUAUUUAACAGUUAUACACUUAUUUGUAUGAACAAAUCUAAACUUUUUUGGUAAUGUUAUUCUCUUCUUGGUGGUCAUACAUAUUCUGUAUCUGUUAAAGUCUUCCCUCCUCUGUUUUAUUACUAUUUUCUUUAAUUUUAACUUCACACCUCAUUCCUUUUUUUUUUUUUUAUGGAGUCUGGCUCUGUCACGCAGGCUGGAGUGCAGUGGCACAAUCUCAGCUCACUGCAGCCUCCGCCUCCUGGCUUUAGGCAAUUCUCUGCCUCAGCCUCCCAAGUAGCUGGGAUUACAGGUGCCCGCCACCAAGCCUGCCUAAUUUUUGUAUUUUUAGUAGAAAUGGGGUUUCACCAUCUUGACCAGGCUGGUCUUGAACUCCUGACCUCGUGAUCCACCCGCCUCGGCCUCCCAAAGUGCUAGGAUUACAGGUGAGAGCCACAGCACCUGGCCCAUCCCUCAUUGCUGAAUGAGAAUUAGCUAGAUAGAAAUUUCCCUCAGCAGUUUGUAGGUAUGGCUUCAUUAUCUUCUCGGGUUCAAUUACCUUCUUGGUUUCUAUUCUAUUACACCUUAAAUUUUUCAUAGAAAAAUGUAAGAUGUAACUUCAGUCUAAGUGUUAAUCUUUUUUAAGUAAUCUAUUUUUCCCCACUGGCAGCUUUUCCUUUUAUUAAUGAUGCUCUGCAGUUUCAUUGUGAUGUGGACCUGCAUCAAAGUGCACUUUUGAUCUGAGUUCUCAUAUUUUUCUCUAACUCUGGAAAAUUCUAAGCUACAAUCUUUUCAAAUAAUGACUUCUCUCAUUUCUUCCAGUCUCUUUUCCUUUCUCUGGUACUCAAAUUAGAGAUGUGUUGGAGUCUCUCAGUCUGUCCUGCAGGGCUCAUAACUAUUCUGCUCUUUUGAAUUUUAUAUUUCUUUGUCUCUUUGUACUAGAUCUGGGUAAAUUUGUCAGUACUCUCAAUUUACCAAUUAUCUCUUAAACUGUGCCUAGUCUAGAGAUUAUCGUAAAUAUUGGCUUUCUUAUUUCCAGAAUAUAUUUUUAAGUUCAAAAAUUUUCAGUUGAUUGCUUUCCCUGUCUACAUGUGGUGGUUUGCCCCAAAUUUGCCCCAUCCCUUCAUAUAUGCCCCUUUGCAAUGUGACUUUGACACUCUGACUAUCAAUAAGUGGGGUAUACCUCUGCAGCCUCAAAUCUGGUCUUGUCUAUGUGACUUGUUUUGAGCAGUGGCCAUUGGCAAAUAUAUAAUUCAACAGAGGCUUGAGAAGUUCUUGUGCAUUGGAGUUUGCCCUUUUUUGGCUGCAGGAAACCCUGCUAUCACACGGAAGCAAGCCUAGGUUAGCCUCCUAAAGAAUCACAAAAAGAAAGACCCUAGCUGUCUGAAUGAUCUGAGCUAAGUCCCCAGACGUGCAAGUGUGGCCAUCCUAGACCACUGAGCUCCAGCCAAGCCAGCUUGCAUCAGAAGAACUGUCCAGAAAACUCACAGAAUCAUAAGAAAUAAUGCAGCGCAGCUUAACUUGGACUCACCACCUAUCAAGUGCUCGACAGCCACGUGUGCAGUGGUUCCUACGUGGAGCAGCAUACAUCCAGAGAUGCAAAUAUUAAUGAGGACAGUGCUAGUAACAGAGUUGCUGAGCAAUCUAUGUCCCCUUGUAAGAACCAGUGCCCCAGGGGAAGAAACAGAACUCCACAAGGUAGCAGUGUGGGUGUAGUACCCGCAUGUGCCCAUGUUAUGGGAAUGUAGAUGGGGAGUGACCACCGCCAACAGAAGUGUGGCCAUCUUGCCCGAGAUGCCUGAGGACCUCCUAUUUUUAGAUGCUGCUGCCCAAGGCCUGUAUUUCAUGCUAUGGCUUUUGUCAUUUGAAUUAUCAGUAGCUGUCUCGGAGCUAUUACGCUUCACUGGGCCCUGGAGGAUAUUGUCUUAUACAGUCCACUGGGUUUUGGAUAUGCAGUCUGUGCCUUUCAUUGCCUUCCUGGAAAAUAAUAACUAAACUCUUCCUCACCAGGCUUUUUGUCUUUUUUAACUUUCUCUUUGUCUAGUUUAUUUUGGUAUCUCUGUUACUAUCAUUUCUUCAAUGUUUUUUUCCUGCUGAUCUAACUCUUUUAGCUUGUUCA